rnacentral:lncRNA from 1 species
UUCCCCCUUCCUUUUUCUCUCACAUAUGCUUUGAACCUUUUCUGAUCAGUGAACGCGUUAUCAUUAUCUAUUUUUGCCGACCUCUUUUUGGUCUGUAUCUGAUCAUGUGAUGAUAAUUUGCAUCUUUGCUUAUUCCAUUGAAAUUCUUACAUUUAUUGGAUAAAAAAAGCAUUUUUGCCUACUUCUCGAUCGGAUUCAUGUUUGU